AUUGAACGCUGGCGGCAGGCCUAACACAUGCAAGUCGAGCGGAUGAAGGGAGCUUGCUCCUGGAUUCAGCGGCGGACGGGUGAGUAAUGCCUAGGAAUCUGCCUGGUAGUGGGGGAUAACGUCCGGAAACGGGCGCUAAUACCGCAUACGUCCUGAGGGAGAAAGUGGGGGAUCUUCGGACCUCACGCUAUCAGAUGAGCCUAGGUCGGAUUAGCUAGUAGGUGGGGUAAAGGCCUACCAAGGCGACGAUCCGUAACUGGUCUGAGAGGAUGAUCAGUCACACUGGAACUGAGACACGGUCCAGACUCCUACGGGAGGCAGCAGUGGGGAAUAUUGGACAAUGGGCGAAAGCCUGAUCCAGCCGUGCCGCGUGUGUGAAGAAGGUCUUCGGAUUGUAAAGCACUUUAAGUUGGGAGGAAGGGCAGUAAGUUAAUACCUUGCUGUUUUGACGUUACCAACAGAAUAAGCACCGGCUAACUUCGUG
rnacentral:rRNA from 1 species